CGAAACGGGGNUUUAGAUACCCCGGUAGUUCCUANCUGUAAAAUUAUGNGGAUUAGGUGUUGCAUUCCCCUUGAGGGNAUGCAGUGCCGAAGGGCAGCCGUUAANUUCNCCACCUGGGAAGUACGGUCGCAAGGCCUGAAACUUAAAGGAAUUGACGGGGGAGCACAACAAGGGGUGGAGUCUGCGGUUUAAUUGGAUAAUACCCCGGAAAUCUCACCAGGAGCGACAACAGUAUGAAGGCCAGGUUGACGAUCUUGCCAGACUUGUUGAGAGGUGGUGCAUGGCCGCCGUCAGUUCGUGCCGUAAGGUGUUCUGUUAAGUCAGACAACGAACAAGACCCACGCCAUUAGUUGCUAGUCAUUCUUUCGAGAGUGAUGCACUCUAAUGGGACCGCUGGUGAUAAACCAGAGGAAGGGGUGGGCAACGGUAGGUCAGUAUGCCCCGAAUCUCUUGGGCUACACGCGAGCUACAGUGGCUGGAACAAUGAGCUGCGACGCCGAAAGGCGAAGCCAAUCCCUAAAUCCAGUCGAGGUUCGGAUCGAGGGCUGUAACUCGCCCUCGUGAAGCCGGAAUCCCCAGUAAUCGGACGUCA
rnacentral:rRNA from 1 species